rnacentral:rRNA from 1 species
AGAGUUUGAUCAUGGCUCAGGAUGAACGCUGGCGGCGUGCUUAACACAUGCAAGUCGAACGAAGCAUUUUGGAAGAAGUCUUCGGACGGAUUUUGGGAUGACUGAGUGGCGGACGGGUGAGUAACGCGUGGGCAACCUGCCCUGUACAGGGGGAUAACAGCCGGAAACGGCUGCUAAUACCGCAUAAGCGCACGAGACCGCAUGGUUUUGUGUGAAAAACUCCGGUGGUACAGGAUGGGCCCGCGUCUGAUUAGGCAGUUGGCGGGGUGACGGCCCACCAAACCGACGAUCAGUAGCCGACCUGAGAGGGUGACCGGCCACAUUGGGACUGAGACACGGCCCAAACUCCUACGGGAGGCAGCAGUGGGGAAUAUUGCACAAUGGGCGCAAGCCUGAUGCAGCGACGCCGCGUGAGCGAAGAAGUAUUUCGGUAUGUAAAGCUCUGUCAGCAGGGAAGAAAACGACGGUACCUGCACAAGAAGCUCCGGCUAAAUACGUGCCAGCAGCCGCGGUAAUACGUAUGGAGCAAGCGUUAUCCGGAAUUACUGGGUGUAAAGGGAGCGUAGACGGCAUGGCAAGUCUGGUGUGAAAGACCGGGGCUCAACCCCGGGCCUGCAUUGGAAACUGCCAAGCUUGAGUGCCGGAGAGGUAAGCGGAAUUCCUAGUGUAGCGGUGAAAUGCGUAGAUAUUAGGAGGAACACCAGUGGCGAAGGCGGCUUACUGGACGGUAACUGACGUUGAGGCUCGAAGGCGUGGGGAGCAAACAGGAUUAGAUACCCUGGUAGUCCACGCAGUAAACG